CACACACACACACAUUUCCCUUUCUCAACUCUAUUGUUUAAGCCAUUUUCUCUGCUUGGGAAGACUUGUCACUGUCAUCUGUCAAGCAAAGUCCACUCAUCCUUUAUGACCUAAUACAAAUGAUGCUUCUUCUGUGAAGCCUUCCCUGCCCUCCCCGGGGAGAUAAUCACUCUCCUCUCUGCUUUCACAUAUAUUAUGGCCUGUCUCUUUAUAUGUUGGUCUCUCCCAAAUGUCUUAGAAGAUUCAUGGGGCAAUCUGAUUGAGGAAGAGGUAUCCUAGAAACAUCUACUGAUGAACAAAAAUAUCAGAAGUACGGAAUUUGGACUGUCUGAACCAUAAACAAACAAACAAACAAGAAGGCAGAAAUCUACUCUUAGAACACAUGAUACUAAGCACCUUACUGCAAGAGUGUAAAGAAAUAAAAGAGGACAAGAAAAGAUGUUUUCCCAUCCCUGACAUUUUCUGGUCCAGCAAGGACAAGCUGAAAAGCUGAUUAACAAGCUUCCCAGGAGACAGAUCCAACUGGCAUCUAGGGAUGAGAGGGCUUAUCUUCUGAUUUUUGGUUAAGGAAACCUAUGCAGCGGAGACCAUGUGUGUGCUACAAUCUGUUCACAGGAUGCACGAAGCUGCAACUGAGCCCCAGACAGGGAGCGAAAGCCCGCCCCACUGGGGUGUGGUGCCUCACAUGCCAGAAAUCCACUCCCCUCUCUCCAGCACUGCCAGGUGCUUUGCACACCUCUACAUGGAACACUCUCCCCCAUCUCUCCAUUGGGACAACUCUUACUCUUCCCUGAUGUUCAUCUUAAAUGUCACUGCCUCAGAAAAGCUUCACCUGUUCUUUCAACCUAAAAUGCAGACAACCAAAGACGUUUGAGAAAAUCUGCUGAUGCCCACCCAGCAUCCGGUUAAGCAGACAAGGUAUAGUAAACAAACCAACAGGAACAGGAAGAGAGUAGCUAUCUCAGAAUAUAGAUAUAAAUCAGUAUCUUCACAAAGUCACUCGUCCUUUCAAAAGCUUCAAAGAAGAACUUCUUCUCGUCUAUUUUAUUUAUCUCAUUUGUGCCCUACUUAAUAGAUAUUGAUUUGAUAGGCACGUGCCAUUUAAGUAGAAAAUAUGAAAUGAAUAUUCUAAUUGUAAUUGAAGAAUGCCAACUUAAUGCAGAAGUUCCCUGUGUAUAAAAGACCUUCCAAAAAUUGUCUGUAUCCCUUCCUUCUCUCUCACUGUCUGGGGAGAACCUGAUUCUGGGGCAGAAGCCAUGCAGCCCAAGAAGACACAUGCCGCUGAAAUGGUUCUCUGGAAUCUACCACUGGCCAGAUGUCUCAGGUCCUGAGAAAACUCAAACACCAUCUAAAAGUUUCCACUGGAUGACUGAGACCAUUAAAUUUUCUUUUGAGAAAUAUG